CAAGAGCAUUCAUCAAAAAUGCAGAGCUCCCCGUUCCAUCCAAGUAAAACAUCUUUCAAACAGUGAGAACCUUCUAUGAAGCAGUUCUGAGAAAGAUGUUCAACUGCUUCCCACUUGACUCCCAACUCCUGAAGGACCUGAGAGGGCUGGACCCUGCAUCUCGGCCUCGCGUCACUCCAGGGACAGGACCACCUAUGAUGUACCGCUGGGACAAGCCACGACACAAUCUCUCCUGACUUUUGACAGAAUCAUCAUGGUCGGAGUCC